UGCAGUCGACGGUAACAGGUCCUCGGAUGCUGACGAGUGGCGAACGGGUGAGUAAUACAUCGGAACGUGCCCGAGAGUGGGGGAUAACGAGGCGAAAGCUUUGCUAAUACCGCAUACGAUCUCAGGAUGAAAGCAGGGGACCGCAAGGCCUUGCGCUCACGGAGCGGCCGAUGGCAGAUUAGGUAGUUGGUGGGAUAAAAGCUUACCAAGCCGACGAUCUGUAGCUGGUCUGAGAGGACGACCAGCCACACUGGGACUGAGACACGGCCCAGACUCCUACGGGAGGCAGCAGUGGGGAAUUUUGGACAAUGGGCGCAAGCCUGAUCCAGCCAUGCCGCGUGCAGGAUGAAGGCCUUCGGGUUGUAAACUGCUUUUGUACGGAACGAAAAGACUCCUUCUAAUAAAGGGGGUCCAUGACGGUACCGUAAGAAUAAGCACCGGCUAACUACGUGCCAGCAGCCGCGGUAAUACGUAGGGUGCGAGCGUUAAUCGGAAUUACUGGGCGUAAAGCGUGCGCAGGCGGUUAUAUAAGACAGAUGUGAAAUCCCCGGGCUCAACCUGGGAACUGCAUUUGUGACUGUAUAGCUAGAGUACGGCAGAGGGGGAUGGAAUUCCGCGUGUAGCAGUGAAAUGCGUAGAUAUGCGGAGGAACACCGAUGGCGAAGGCAAUCCCCUGGGCCUGUACUGACGCUCAUGCACGAAAGCGUGGGGGAGCAAACAGGAUUAGAUACCCUGGUAGUCCACGCCCCUAAACGAUGUCAACUGGGUUGUUGGGUCUUCACUGACUCAGUAAACGAAGCUAACGCGUGAAAGUUGACCGCCUGGGGGAGUACUGGCCGCAAGGUUGAAACUCCAAGGAAUUGACGGGGACCCCGCGCCAAGCGGUGGAUGAUGUGG
rnacentral:rRNA from 1 species